UAACUACUCCCUCCGUUCCUAAAUAUAAGUCUUUUUAGAGAUUCCACUAUAAACUACAUACGGAUGUACAUAGACAUAUUUCAGAGUGUAGGUUCACUCAUUUUGCUCCGUAUGUAGUUUAUAGUAUAAUCUCUGGAAAGACUUAUAUUUAGGAACGGAGGGAGUAAAAG
rnacentral:pre_miRNA from 1 species